rnacentral:rRNA from 1 species
GAUGAACGCUAGCGGCAGGCCUAACACAUGCAAGUCGAGGGGUAGAGGAAGCUUGCUUCCUUGAGACCGGCGCACGGGUGCGUAACGCGUAUGCAAUCUACCUUUUACAGAGGGAUAGCCCAGAGAAAUUUGGAUUAAUACCUCAUAGUAUCUUUGCCUGGCAUCGGGUGAUUAUUAAAGUUCCAACGGUAAAAGAUGAGCAUGCGUCCUAUUAGCUAGAUGGUAAGGUAACGGCUUACCAUGGCAACGAUAGGUAGGGGUCCUGAGAGGGAGAUCCCCCACACUGGUACUGAGACACGGACCAGACUCCUACGGGAGGUAGCAGUGAGGAAUAUUGGACAAUGGGCGCAAGCCUGAUCCAGCCAUGCCGCGUGCAGGAAGACGGUCCUAUGGAUUGUAACCUGCUUUUGUACGGGAAGAAACACUCCUACGUGUAGGAGCUUGACGGUACCGUAAGAAUAAGGAUCGGCUAACUCCGUGCCAGCCGCCGCGGUAACAC